AUAUACAUGAAAUAGUAAUAAACCUUUAAGUAUGGCAGAAUCGAGACAGGAUAGGGGGUAAAUGUAGGUAGAAUUCCUUUCUUAAAAAAAGUUAACCUGAAUUGGAGACCAUGAGGGUAU